UUCACGAAACGUCACUACGGCGGCGCGCGCCCGUGGCUGUCAGACUAGCGCCCCUUGUUUUCUGCCUGGAAACAUCGCCUGCUAACCGCAGCUGUGAAAACGCAAUAUUCUGGGGGCAGGAGCCGGCGUGGGAAAUGGGGUCGGAUCACAGUACCAAUUCAGCUGCUGACCAGCGACAGAGGGAUCAGGGCAACCUGUCAUCCCAAGGUGAGGCAUCUUCAUCCACAGGCGGCUCUGAUAGUGUUGCUGACCCCGAGGACCACCUGGAUCCAGAUACCGAACUGCCUCAAUGCAGAAUUGGCACCAGAUGGGUAGACGACAUGAGUUUCAUGAUAUCGUGCACUAACUGGUACUAGACACAUGGAGAUGUUGCACGAACCUACUGGUCAUUGAUGUCUUCAAUAAAUGUGUGCCAAAUGUUGGACUACAAAAGACGUGAAGAUGCUGGGCAAUUUGCUGAGUUGUAAUGUUGUUUAUGUUAGUUUGAUUGUAUUUACGACUGAAAGAAUUGUGCAAUGUGUUUGUAAGGCAUAAACACACAAGACAAUAUAUAUUUUCCGAUUAGUUAGAUUAACUUAAAUCUGUUUAGCUUAACCGCGCUACACUUAUGAAUGGCACGUAUUGUAAUAUAGUCUAUAUAUUUACCUGCACUAAUGGUACAAUAAAAUAUAUAUGCAAAUGUGUUAUUAUAGACUAAACAGUAAUCUUUCCAGUAACCACAAAACGCUUGACAUUUAUGUAAUUUUAUUGACAUUUUUUGAACAUGGUGAUAUUAGAUACACAGUGUAAAACUGUAGACCGAAAUGAAACUGACCCAUUGUUUAUAGCAUUAAAAACAAUUAAACAAAUAAAGCUUAAAUCAUAUCUAAUAUUAGUAAACCAAUUCAGUUUAACAACACUCGUCCUGAAGAAAGAUAACAUUAUGCGAUGUGAAAUCAUAGGCGACAGUCAGAGUGAAAGAAAAAUACAAAAGGUUAAACUUCAAAAAGUUUAGGUAAAUCUUCAUAUUUACAUGACCAUUAAAACUUGGACAAAAGCGGAGCUGACGGCAACGUUUUACCUGUAAAUCAGAAAAUAUCAAAACUCGAAGGACAGAAUCAGCAUUGUUUGAUUCAAAUUACAGAGCGAGCGUUUCGCUCUUCAAUUCUGUCAAAUGAAAAAAAACAUAUGUACAGUAAUACGGUUUAAAUCCCCCCGUGGUCAGUCAAGAAAAAAACGUUAAAGCUAUCUCAGAUAAAAUCUGCGUUAAAAUGAACCCUCUGUAAUCAAAAGCGUAAAUACAUUUGGGUCCUCAACUACCUCUGAUAUGUUUGUCCUAUUGUUAGUCUCAUAAAAGUACAGUAAAAACAAAAGGCAACAGCAGCUUGGGUUCAAAGUGACUGUUGUCCAGAGCCACAAUCGUACCCAUAAAAAGAGGCAAAUUACCAGAGAAUUCCUAUUUAUGUCUCCCUGUACAUGUUUAUUUAUUUUCUGUUUCUGUGCAACUAAUAUGAUAGGCAUGGCUUAACCUCGAUUUUAAAUGAAACGGUGUAGAAUAGUACCCUUAUGUCUCCAUCAAUGAUAAAUAAAUAGCUUUUCGUAUGAUACGCCUCUAGCAUUACAAACCGUUCACAUGACCCUACGACAAACAUUUCUAAAGAUAUCCACCUUUGAUAAAUACACUUUAGUUCUGAUAAACAUCUCACUUCUGACAUUAGGUUUGUUUAAAGUGUGUUAAUAUAUAUACACAUAAUACUGGCUUGCUCAGUGGUCUGGAAAUUGUUUAUGGAGCGCUCCAUAACUCCAUGUACAUCGUUCUGUCUCUUCACAAAAAUGUGUACUAAAAAUGUGAUUAUAGUGCAAGUUUAAAAAAAGAAAAUUAUGUGCAGACCCCGUUCUGAGACUUAUUUAGCUACAAGUUAUUAAUGCCAGAUUUGUUUCUGCAAAUAAACAAUAAUUUGUCAUCGUGACUCUUAAAAUAACUGAAUCUAUUUCAGGCACCCUUGCCACAUGAUUCGUCUUUUUUCUUACAACGAUAAAUACACAUCUCUCAGGGAACCGAGCAUCCCAACGUCACACAAAACCGCAGUCUUGGUACACACACUUUUGUGCCACACUGUCAAAUUCAGUCCAAGUCUCGGUGGUUUUAUCUAUUAAACCAACACCAGCUUAUUGGACAGAUUUGAGGAAGACGGCUGGUAAAGCACAGUGUGUUCCAUUUAAAAUACUCCCAACCAGAACUGCCUGUACCCUAGACAUUAGACGAUUUCAUUGCUUGUUGGAGUGAGCAGGUGCUCUAGAUAUGGAGGAGUUGACUAAUAAAAAUGCUUAUCCGAGAGACAAUAACAUCGAGUCUUUCCCAAGUGUUGGGCACGAACGUGUAAAAUCUGCUCGAGCUUCAGCCAUUUCUCUACCCACGGCCAAGCUGCUCGCGCAACACAUCCAAAAAUUACAUGACAAUUGGGUCAACUAAAAUAAACGGCGACACGUUUUCUAUAAGCAAAUGCAUUGUUUUUGAUCAAGGGACACGAUUUAUGGAUGCGUUCUUAAAACACAACACAGAUGUAGGAAUCGAUGUGCCAUAGCUGACUGUUAGACAAGGCACAGUGUCUUAAAGGGGAAGUCACGGAACCUCAAUUAUACAUUUUUCUGCCGUUUUAUGAAACAUUACACCAAUUGUUUUUAAGACCACUGUUUAUAAAAAAAAAAGACAAUGGAUUUGUGGAGAUGGUACAGUUGUAUUA